AGUUUAGCGGGUAAGAAUGAUGCUCUUAAUCUGCAGAAAGGGAUUUCUGCCUAAACUU
rnacentral:tRNA from 1 species